rnacentral:tRNA from 1 species
GGGCUGCUAGCUCAACUAGGCAGAGCAAAUGACUCUUAAUCAUUAGGUUGCUGGUUCGAUUCCAGCGCAGCCCACCA